AUUGAACGCUGGCGGCAGGCCUAACACAUGCAAGUCGAACGAGUGGCGGACGGGUGAGGAGUGUCUGGGCAACUGCCUGAUGGAGGGGGCUGACUACUGGAAACGGUAGCUGAUACCGCAUACCAUCGGAUGUGCCCCGAUGGGAUUAGCUAGUAGGUGGGGUAAAGGCUCACCUAGGCGCCGAUCCCUAGCUGGUCUGAGAGGCGGACCAGCCACACGGGAAUGGAGACACGGUCCAGACGCCUACGGGAGGCAGCAGUGGGGAAUAUUGUACAAUGGGCGCAAGCCUGAUGCAGCCAUGCCGCGUGUAUGAAGAAGGCCUGCGGGUUGUAAAGUACUUUCAGCGGGGAGGCGUUACCCGCAGAAGAAGCACCGGCUAACUCCGUGCCAGCAGCCGCGGUAAUUC
rnacentral:rRNA from 1 species